rnacentral:rRNA from 1 species
GGGAAUAUUGGACAAUGGGGGGAACCCUGAUCCAGCCAUGCCGCGUGUGUGAAGAAGGCCUUAUGGUUGUAAAGCACUUUAAGCGAGGAGGAGGCUACUGAGGCUAAUAUUCUUGGAUAGUGGACGUUACUCGCAGAAUAAGCACCGGCUAACUCUGUGCCAGCAGCCGCGGUAAUACAGAGGGUGCGAGCGUUAAUCGGAUUUACUGGGCGUAAAGCGUGCGUAGGCGGCUUUUUAAGUCGGAUGUGAAAUCCCCGAGCUUAACUUGGGAAUUGCAUUCGAUACUGGGAAGCUAGAGUAUGGGAGAGGAUGGUAGAAUUCCAGGUGUAGCGGUGAAAUGCGUAGAGAUCUGGAGGAAUACCGAUGGCGAAGGCAGCCAUCUGGCCUAAUACUGACGCUGAGGUACGAAAGCAUGGGGAGCAAACAGG